UCAAAACUCCCUCACCAUCAAGAAUUGUCUCCUUGACUUCUCCUUUUGACAUCUUGUCUCGAAUCUUACAUAAAUCACCAUUAUAAAACUAUUGAGUCUGCUCCAAAAAGGAUGACUUAGCCUCCACAUAAGUCAAAAUCCUACUCGAUUCUGAAAUAUCAAGCCUCACAAAGUUAUUGGACAAGGACUACAUAUUCAUAGCCAAAAGAAGCUCACCCACCUGUAACAAAGUUAAAUUCCUCUAUACUCAUCGUCUUUCUACUUAAUGAAUCUACUACCAGAUUGUCCUUAUUCAGAUGAAAAAGAAUAUUGAUGUCAUAGUCCUUGAGCAACUCAAAAUCAUCUUUGUUGCCCCAAAUUGAUAUUUCUCUAAUUGAAUAUGUAUUAUAGACUACGAUGAUCCUUGAAUACCUCCUAAUACAACUAUAAAAGUAAUACCCUCAAAUCCUCAGUGCAAAUACUACAACUGUCAACUCCAAGUCAUAGGUAGGAUAGUUCUUCUAGUGAACCAGUUUCAGCUACCUCAAAUCGUAAGCUAUUACCUUUACCCUCUACAUCAACACACAAUCAAGAUCAAUCCAAGAAGCAUCACAAUAUAUGAUAAAACCCACUCCCUCCACGAGUAGUAACCAAUAAAGUCUUAAGCUUUUGAAAACUCACCUCUCACAAACCACUAGGAAGCCACUUCCUUCUAGUCAAUCUAGUUUAUGAGGAUGCAACAGAUAGAACCCUUCCACAAAUCACCGAUAAUAACCCGC
rnacentral:lncRNA from 1 species